CAAAUCCAGUGGAACUAUGGAGCAGGGGCAGGAGCAGAGGAGUGAUGCUCAAUAUGCAUGUUCUCCCUUCCACGUCACUCCUACCUGAUGCCCUAAGAGCACAGAAUUCCAACGGACCCACAAUGUCUGCGUGUUCAGUAAGACUCAAAGUGAGGACAAGGUGUCCACAUUUGCUGUGUCUCACAAAGAUGCCAAGAGCCGACAUCCAAAGGGACAGCAGUAUGGUUCUCUGACCAGAAGAUGUGGGGAGUCGUGGAGGAAGACAGAGAAGCCUGGAGAGGGAAGGUUAAGUAACCUUCCCGAAGUCCACAGCAGUGUCACAUCUCCACCCAGGUCUUCUGACUUCUAAAUCCGGAUUAUUACAAAGGAAUCCCAGGAAGAAAUUGUGACGAGAUGUGUCUGCAGCAGGAGAGGAAGCCCAGGCACACAAAAUCCUAUAGGACUCCACAGUCCCUCAGCAUCCUCAGAUAGCACUCAGGUCAAUGAUGAAAAAGCCCCAAUCCCUGGUACAUGGAACAAAGACUACUCUACCUUCCUGCACUUCAGGGCUGCCUUGUUUCUGAUUCUCCUGGCCCAGCAUCCUUCCUAAUCUUCCGGGGCACUUUCAGCUCAGCAGAUAUCAACAUGCACCCCUGCCUCCUCAUCUGCCAUCUAAUCAGUGACAUAGCUCUUUUUACAGUUAAAAGAAUCAAGCUUAAAGCCAAAAAUCUAGCUUUGUUGCUCCUCUUUCCUCCCCUCCCUUCCUUCUUCCUUUCUCCUACCUCCCUCCCUUCCUCCCUCCCUCCCUCCAGCCCUGUAGAGUGUACUGCUAUGUGUCAGGUACUAACCCUUCUCAGGACCUAGAGUUCCCUGUCUCCCUGGAAUAGCAUAAUUCAAAGACAAUAUGGCUCUAUUAUCAGAUAAGACGUUGAAACUUCUCCCCAACCCUGAGGAUUCUUUUCUCACAGCAGCAGGGCUGUGUGUUUCUUUUUCAAUGGAUUACUUUUCAAAAGGGUCAGAACUGGCAAGGGAGCCCAGACAGGAAUGUAAAUGGUUGGGUCUUCUGCCUAUUCUAGUCUUUAGGUGAGUUUGACCCUCCAUGGUGACAACAAAGAGCAGGAAGGAAAUUGAGGCAGCUGAUACACAAAAACCACCUCAAG